ACGUACGCUGGCGGCACGCCUAACACAUGCAAGUCGAACGAAGUAGCAAUACUUAGUGGCAGACGUGUGAGUAACAUGUAGGUAUCUGCCCUUUGGCCUGGAAUAACACGAGGAAACUUGUGCUAAUACCGGAUAAGUCUUUACGGAGAAAGCUUUAUGCACCAUUGGAUGAGCCUGCACUUGAUUAGUUUGUUGGUGGGGUAAUGGCCUACCAAGACUGUGAUCAAUAGCUGAUUUGAGAGGAUGAUCAGCCACAUUGGGACUGAGACACGGCCCAAACUCCUACGGGAGGCAGCAGUGGGGAAUCUUGCACAAUGGAGGAAACUCUGAUGCAGCGAUGCCGCGUGAGUGAAGAAGGCCCUUGGGUUGUAAAGCUCUUUCGUCGGGGAAGAAAAUGACUGUACCCGAAUAAGAAGGUCCGGCUAACUUCGUGCCAGCAGCCGCGGUAAUACGAAGGGACCUAGCGUAGUUCGGAAUUACUGGGCUUAAAGAGUUCGUAGGUGGUUGAAAAAGUUAGUGGUGAAAUCCCAGAGCUUAACUCUGGAACUGCCAUUAAAACUUUUCAGCUAGAGUAUGAUAGAGGAAAGCAGAAUUUCUAGUGUAGAGGUGAAAUUCGUAGAUAUUAGAAAGAAUACCAAUGCGAAGGCAGCUCUCUGGAUCAUACUGACACUGA
rnacentral:rRNA from 1 species